rnacentral:rRNA from 1 species
UGGGGAAUAUUGCACAAUGGGCGCAAGCCUGAUGCAGCCAUGCCGCGUGUGUGAAGAAGGCCUUCGGGUUGUAAAGCACUUUCAGCGGGGAGGAAGGCGGUGAGGUUAAUAACCUCAUCGAUUGACGUUACCCGCAGAAGAAGCACCGGCUAACUCCGUUCCAGCAGCCGCGGUAAUACGGAGGGUGCAAGCGUUAAUCGGAAUUACUGGGCGUAAAGCGCACGCAGGCGGUCUGUCAAGUCGGAUGUGAAAUCCCCGGGCUCAACCUGGGAACUGCAUUCGAAACUGGCAGGCUAGAGUCUUGUAGAGGGGGGUAGAAUUCCAGGUGUAGCGGUGAAAUGCGUAGAGAUCUGGAGGAAUACCGGUGGCGAAGGCGGCCCCCUGGACGAAGACUGACGCUCAGGUGCGAAAGCGUGGGGAGCAAACAGG